GAUGAACGCUGGCGGCGUGCCUAAUACAUGCAAGUCGAACGAGAACGACCGGUGCUUGCACUGGUCAAGUUAGUGGCGGACGGGUGAGUAACACGUGGGUAACCUGCCCAUCAGAGGGGGAUAACAUCCGGAAACGGGAGCUAAAACCGCAUAGGUCUUCGAACCGCAUGGUUUUAAGAGGAAAAAAGGCUUUAGCUUCUGCUGAUGGCUGAACCGCCGGUGCGUUAGCUAGUGGGUCAGGAAACGGCUCACCAAGGCCGGGAUGCAUAGCCGACCUGAGAGAGUGAUCGGCCACAUUGGAACGGAGACACGGCCCAAACUCCUACGGGAGGCAGCAGUAGGGAAUCUUCCGCAAUGGUCGCAAGUCUGACGGAGCAACGCCGCGUGAGUGAAGAAGGUGUUCGGAUCGUAAAACUCUGUUGUUAGUGAAGAACAAGUGCUAGAGUAACUGUUAGCGCCUUGACGGUACCUAAACAGAAAGCCACGGCUAACUACGUG
rnacentral:rRNA from 1 species